rnacentral:rRNA from 1 species
UGCCUAAUACAUGCAAGUCGAACGCUGAUUAUCGAAAGCUUGCUUUUGAUAUGAUGAGUGGCGAACGGGUGAGUAACACGUGGGAAACCUACCUCUUAGCAGGGGAUAACAUUUGGAAACAGAUGCUAAUACCGUAUAACAGUUAAAACCGCAUGGUUUUAAUUUAAAAGAUGGUUCUGCUAUCACUAAGAGAUGGUCCCGCGGUGCAUUAGCUAGAUGGUGAGGUAACGGCUCACCAUGGCGAUGAUGCACAGCCGAGUUGAGAGACUGAUCGGCCACAAUGGGACUGAGACACGGCCCAUACUCCUACGGGAGGCAGCAGUAGGGAAUCUUCCACAAUGGGCGCAAGCCUGAUGGAGCAACGCCGCGUGUGUGAUGAAGGGUUUCGGCUCGUAAAGCAC